rnacentral:rRNA from 1 species
GACGAACGCUGGCGGCGUGCUUAACACAUGCAAGUCGAACGGAAAGGCCCUGCUUUUGUGGGGUGCUCGAGUGGAGAACGGGAGAGUAACACGGGAGUAACCUGCCCUUGACUGUGGGAUAACUUCAGGAAACUGGGGAUAAUACCGGAUAGGAGCUCCUGCGGCAGGGGGGGGGUUGGAAAGUUUGGGCGGUUGGGGUUGGCCUCGCGGCCUAUCGGCUGGUUGGGGGGGUAGUGGCUUACCAAGGCUUUGACGGGUAGCCGGCCAGGGAGGGUGACCGGCCACUUUGGGCCUGGGUUACGGCCCAGACUCCUCCGGGAGGCAGCGGGGGGGAUUAUUGCACAAUGGGCGGAAGCCUGAUGCAGCAACGCCGCGUGCGGGUUGCCGGCCUUCGGGUUGUAAACCGCUUUCGCCUGUGCCAAAGCGUGAGUGACGGUACUUGGUAAAGAAGCACCGGCUAACUACGUG